rnacentral:tRNA from 1 species
GCUUCCAUGGCGUAAUAGGUAGCGCGUUCGACUGUUAAUCGAAAGGUUGCCGGUUCGAGUCCGGCUGGAAGCG